UUUAGACCUGGGACACCAGGUGUGUGCAAUUAAUGAUUAGGUGGACCAGAAAAUCAGCAGGCUCCGGAUCUUGAAGGGAAGCAGUUUAAUUCCCCUGGCAACUAUUACCUGACAACUCUGCCAUGUUACAAGUGUGAAGCAUCCAAGGGCACGCUGUUUCACAGCUUCACCUUAAGCCCUAAAACAGCCUCUUGUCUGGAGGUUUUGGGACCCUCCCCAGGGUGUUCAGAGACCCAGCUGAUGACCUGAUCUUGCCUGCUACCUCUUGCAGAUCGGACAAAAAAGAGAAAUGGAAGCUGUUGUCGUGUUCAUCAUCCAGGGCUGUGGUCAGGGCCGUGUUCGUCACCCAGGGCCGUGAUCAUCAUCAUCAUCCAGGGCUGAGGUCAGAGCCGUGAUCAUCAUCAUCCAGGGCUGUGGUCAGGGCCGUGUUCGUCAUCCAGAUACAUGCAAGCCCUGUCGACCUGUGAGACACACAGAGCCACCCACGCAGCUGGCAGUUCUGUGAGCCCUGCUUUUAGAGCCGCUCCAGAGGUCAUCCUCUGUCUGCUAACACAAAUCAUUGAGUUCUAAACAGAGCCGAGAAGAGAGAUGGGAUCUUUUAAACCUAUUAUACAAUGUAUUUUAGAGCACGGCAAACAUGAUUGCAUGGUUUUAAACACACAGUCAGAUUAACAAAUGCCCUAAAUCAGUCGGAAUUUGAAUAACAAGCUUCUUUUUUCCCUAGUUCCAUCUUUUGGUUUUUCUGUUCCAGUAAUGAAACAGUUAUACUAGGAUAUCAUAUUCGGUUUAGUUAAGCCUAUAUACAACACUGUGAUCAUUAUGUAAUCGUACAGAUAUUGAUACUGCUUGAAUCUUUGCUAUAUCACUUUCAAGAUGUAAAGCAAGGUAAUACAUACAUGCACAGAACUGGGUCUGCAAAUGCACAGAUACUUUGGGAAACUGAAUGUUUAGGUUUAAUGAUGUACUAAGGAUUUAGCCACGGCCUACAUUUAAAUGCCGCUUUUGGCACCACACCUAACUGUAUUCAGUAACUCUAGAUGACUGUCAUGGCUGGUCCAGUAGUAAAAC
ensembl:lncRNA